GGAAGUAAAAGUCGUAACAAGGUCUCCGUUGGUGAACCAGCGGAGGGAUCAUUACCGAGUUUACAACUCCCAAACCCAUGUGAACAUACCUACUGUUGCUUCGGCGGGAUUGCCCCGGGCGCCUCGUGUGCCCCGGAUCAGGCGCCCGCCUAGGAAACUUAACUCUUGUUUUAUUUUGGAAUCUUCUGAGUAGUUUUUACAAAUAAAUAAAAACUUUCAACAACGGAUCUCUUGGUUCUGGCAUCGAUGAAGAACGCAGCGAAAUGCGAUAAGUAAUGUGAAUUGCAGAAUUCAGUGAAUCAUCGAAUCUUUGAACGCACAUUGCGCCCGCCAGUAUUCUGGCGGGCAUGCCUGUCUGAGCGUCAUUUCAACCCUCAUGCCCCUAGGGCGUGGUGUUGGGGAUCGGCCAAAGCCCGCGAGGGACGGCCGGCCCCUAAAUCUAGUGGCGGACCCGUCGUGGCCUCCUCUGCGAAGUAGUGAUAUUCCGCAUCGGAGAGCGACGAGCCCCUGCCGUUAAACCCCCAACUUUCCAAGGUUGACCUCAGAUCAGGUAGGAAUACCCGCUGAACUUAAGCAUAUCAAUAAGCGGAGGA
rnacentral:rRNA from 3 species